rfam:Aeromonas hydrophila subsp. hydrophila ATCC 7966, complete genome.
GCUUAUUCUCAGGGCGGGGUGAAAUUCCCCACCGGCGGUAUCCCGAUGUGACUCGGGGAGCCCGCGAGCGCCCGACCCGGUAUUGCACCGGGACGGGGUCAGCAGAUCCGGUGAGAUGCCGGAGCCGACGGUCAUAGUCCGGAUGAAAGAGGAUAAGA